AUUUUCCAGCUUCCAAUUGAAUCGCAUGUGCGCAAUGUCCGGGAAAUUGGCUAAGGGAGGAACAAGCGAAGCAGUCGCUAGGUCGUCGGAGCAUGACAAGGAUUAGCGUGGAGGGGAUGACGCCCAGGACUACAAGGACUACGAGGACAGGGAUGUGACGACGACGACGACGACGACGGCGACGAUGAUGAUGAUUGUGAUGAUGAUAUUGUACUGCUGUUGCUGGUGACAAUCAGUGAAAAAGAGAGAAAGAUGCAGAGCAGCCUAGUUGCACAGAGAACAAAGGCCACAAAUAAUAUAUAACUCAUCAAUAAAAUGACUAAAAUAAAAUGACAAAAAUGCCCAAUG
rnacentral:lncRNA from 1 species